UACAGAGGGUGCGAGCGUUAAUCGGAUUUACUGGGCGUAAAGCGUGCGUAGGCGGCUGAAUAAGUCGGAUGUGAAAUCCCCGAGCUUAACUUGGGAAUUGCAUACGAUACUGUUUGGCUAGAGUAUGGGAGAGGAUGGUAGAAUUCCAGGUGUAGCGGUGAAAUGCGUAGAGAUCUGGAGGAAUACCGAUGGCGAAGGCAGCCAUCUGGCCUAAUACUGACGCUGAGGUACGAAAGCAUGGGGAGCAAAC
rnacentral:rRNA from 1 species